AGAGUUUGAUCCUGGCUCAGAACGAACGCUGGCGGCGUGCCUAAUACAUGCAAGUCGAACGAUGAAGUCCUUCGGGACAUAUCAGUGGCGUACGGGUGAGUAACACGUAAGCAAUUUGCCUUAUGGACUGGGAUAACAUCGCGAAAGCGAUGCUAAUACCGGAUGAUGUCGCGAAAUCGCAUGGUAUUGCGACCAAACGGAGGCCUCUUUUUAUGCUUCUGCCGUGAGAUAAGCUUGCGUCCCAUUAGCUAGUUGGUGUGGUAAUGGCGCACCAAGGCUGAGAUGGGUAGCCGGCCUGAGAGGGUGAACGGCCACACUGGAACUGAGACACGGUCCAGACUCCUACGGGAGGCAGCAGUAGGGAAUAUUGGGCAAUGGGCGCAAGCCUGACCCAGCAACGCCGCGUGGGUGAUGAAGCCUUUCGAGGUGUAAAGCCCUUUUGAGAGGGAAGAAGGUGUAAGUGGAGUAAUACGCCACUUUACUGACGGUACCGUUCGAAUAAGCCCCGGCUAACUCCGUGCCAGCAGCCGCGGUAAUACGGGGGGGGCAAGCGUUGUUCGGAAUUACUGGGCGUAAAGGGCGCGUAGGCGGCCUGACAAGUUGAAUGUGGAAUUUCUUGGCUUAACCGAGAAAUUGCGUUCAAAACUGUCAGGCUAGAGUAUGGGAGAGGAGAGCGGAAUUCCCAGUGUAGCGGUGAAAUGCGUAGAUAUUGGGAGGAACAUCGGUGGCGAAGGCGGCUCUCUGGAACAUAACUGACGCUGAGGCGCGAAAGCGUGGGGAGCAAACAGGAUUAGAUACCCUGGUAGUCCACGCUAUAAACGAUGGGCACUAGGUGUAGCGGGUAUUUACCCCCGCUGUGCCGGAGCUAACGCAUUAAGUGCCCCGCCUGGGGAGUACGUACGCAAGUAUGAAACUCAAAGGAAUUGACGGGGGCCCGCACAAGCGGUGGAGCAUGUGGUUUAAUUCGACGCAACGCGAAGAACCUUACCUGGGUUUGACAUGUAAUUGCCGAGCAGUGAAAGCUGUUUUUCCUUCGGGACGAUUACACAGGUGCUGCAUGGCUGUCGUCAGCUCGUGUCGUGAGAUGUUGGGUUAAGUCCCGCAACGAGCGCAACCCUUACCCUUAGUUGCCAGCGGGUAAUGCCGGGAACUCUAGGGGAACUGCCGGUGAUAAACCGGAGGAAGGUGGGGAUGACGUCAAGUCCUCAUGGCCCUUACGCCCAGGGCUACACACGUGCUACAAUGGCCGGUACAAAGGGGUGCAAUACCGCGAGGUGGAGCCAAUCCCAAAAAACCGGUCUCAGUUCGGAUUGGAGUCUGCAACUCGACUCCAUGAAGUUGGAAUCGCUAGUAAUCGUGGAUCAGCAUGCCACGGUGAAUACGUUCCCGGGCCUUGUACACACCGCCCGUCACACCACGAAAGUUGAUGGUACUAGAAGCCGGUGGGCUAACUCUUCGGAGAGGCAGCCGUCCAAGGUACGAUUAGCGAUUGGGGUGAAGUCGUAACAAGGUAGCUGUAGGAGAACCUGCGGCUGGAUCACCUCCUU
rnacentral:rRNA from 1 species